CCUACGGGAGGCAGCAGUAGGGAAUCUUCCACAAUGGACGAAAGUCUGAUGGAGCAACGCCGCGUGAGUGAAGAAGGGUUUCGGCUCGUAAAACUCUGUUGUUGAAGAAGAACACAUCUGAGAGUAACUGUUCAGGUGUUGACGGUAUUUAACCAGAAAGCCACGGCUAACUACGUGCCAGCAGCCGCGGUAAUACGUAGGUGGCAAGCGUUGUCCGGAAUUAUUGGGCGUAAAGGGAACGCAGGCAGUCUUUUAAGUCUGAUGUGAAAGCCUUCGGCUUAACCGAAGUCGUGCAUUGGAAACUGGGAGACUUGAGUGCAGAAGAGGACAGUGGAACUCCAUGUGUAGCGGUGAAAUGCGUAGAUAUAUGGAAGAACACCAGUGGCGAAGGCGGCUGUCUGGUCUGUAACUGACGCUGAGGCUCGAAAGCAUGGGUAGCGAACAGGAUUAGAUACCCUGGUAGUCCAUGCCGUAAACGAUGAGUGCUAAGUGUUGGAGGGUUUCCGCCCUUCAGUGCUGCAGCUAACGCAUUAAGCACUCCGCCUGGGGAGUACGACCGCAAGGUUGAAACUCAAAGGAAUUGACGG
rnacentral:rRNA from 1 species